GAUGAAGAACGCAGCGAAAUGCGAUACGUAAUGUGAAUUGCAGAUCUCUCAGUGAAUCAUCGAGUCUUUGAACGCACAUUGCGCCCCCUGGUAUUCCGGGGGGCAUGCCUGUCCGAGCGUCAUUGCUGCCCUCAAGCACGGCUUGUGUGUUGGGCCUCCGUCCUCCUCCCGGGGGACGGGCCCGAAAGGCAGCGGCGGCACCGCGUCCGGUCCUCGAGCGUAUGGGGCUUCGUCACCCGCUCUUGUAGGCCCGGCCGGCGCUUGACGACACAUCUAUCUUUUUUCCAGGUUGACCUCGGAUCAGGUAGGGAUACCCGCUGAACUUAAGCAUAUCAAUAAGCGGAGGA
rnacentral:misc_RNA from 1 species